ensembl:lncRNA
CUCUACUGAGAAGAGAGGGGGAAAGUGGGGGGUGGAGUGGAGCGCAAAAUGACAGUGGAGGAGGGAAAGAGAGAUGUGGAGACAGAAGAGGAGAGGAAGAUGCAAGGAUCCGCUUCGCUGCUGUAGUUUGAAAGUCUCGCCAAGGGGACUUAGAAGAGCAUUGGUGGUAUAAAUACCCAGCAUAAACAGGAUUAAAAGAGCAACUACUGACUCCAUCAGAGAAGUGUGAAGUGAGAGAGACAAGCAUAGAGAGAGAAUAAAGUGUAAGCAUCAGGAGCACUGUGUACUGCAGUGUGUCUCUACAUGCUCGCUUUACUACAACGCUCAACUUGGGAGACAAGAAGCGUCACUUCUCUGAACUCUUUUACUGGAACGCCAUCCCAUCUCUCUCUCUCUCCAUCAGACACGCUCGUACACACAAAUGGAGAAUAUGUCUUGGUGCUGAAGUAUUGCUGAAGUUCAAACUGGGCCACUGGAUACAUCUAUUUUGGUCCACUCAGUGGCACCAGUCCCACUGGACACGCACCCACACACGGACAACAUCGCAGAGUUCAGGAUCCAUGGAAGAGGCACAGCUGGUGUGGGCCACAGUGGGGCCUGAGGGAUGAGAGAAAUCACCCAGCUAAGAUAUGUGCAAAUGGCUCCUCUGAAACACUGACUGCUCUCGCCAACUCAAGGGAGAAAAUGAGCGAUAGAGAGUGUCGGGGGAGAGAAGAGGAAAUGACAGGGAAAAGAAUGGAGGACAGGGCAGAGUGAAUGGACUGCAAAAAGCCACUGACAAAAAGUACUGUGGUAUUACCAGGGUUUUGGAUAUGGUACCAUGGUAAUACAGUGGUUUUUGGACAUUAACACGUAAAUAUAUAUAGANNNNNNNNNNNNNNNNNNNNNNNNNNNNNNNNNNNNNNNNNNNNNNNNNNNNNUAUAAAAAAUAUAUAUAAAAAAAUACUGGUUUCAUUUUAGACUGACAAAUAUGCAUCUCAUUAAGUUUAUUAAACUAGUAGAGACUGACAUGUAUAAAAAGGACACUUCUAUUCCCCUCACUAUAGCUGUCCACUGAAAUGGUGGAAAGAGAACGCUCAAGCAUACCCACUUCUUUCCUCUCUUCCAAGGCUUACCUAACAGUUCCAGCAACUUCUGUUCCCAGUGAAAAUGUUUUUUUCUAUGACAGGGGAUAUUGUGAAUGCUCAAAGAUCUCAGCUUCUUCUUGAAAAAUGUAGGCAUGUGUUAUAAUUUUUUUUUUUUUUUAUUUUUUUUUGCAACUGUAGGUAAUCUAAACAAACCCUAGUGUUUAUGUUAAAAUUACUUGAACAAAACACCAUUUUUAUUUUUUAUUUAUUUUUACUGCUUUUAGAAGUUCUGCCUUAGGCUUCUUAAUUCUAAGUUCAUGUUAAAUUUAACAUAAUUUUUUCAGUGACAGACAGACCUGUUCAGUUGUUAAUAUGAAUACAGAAGGUUUUUAUUAAACCUAGAAAUGUGAUCUUGUAUGUACAACAAAGAAAGUCAUUGAAAUUUGUAAAUGUUUUUGAAAUAAAUCUUUUUAAAUUUUAGUUUCA